UACGAAGGGGGCUAGCGUUGCUCGGAAUCACUGGGCGUAACGGGUGCGUAGGCGGGUCUUUAAGUCAGGGGUGAAAUCCUGGAGCUCAACUCCAGAACUGCCUUUGAUACUGGCGAUCUUGAGUCCGGGAGAGGUGAGUGGAACUGCGAGUGUAGAGGUGAAAUUCGUAGAUAUUCGCAAGAACACCAGUGGCGAAGGCGGCUCACUGGCCCGGUACUGACGCUGAGGUGCGAAAGCGUGGGGAGCAAACAGG
rnacentral:rRNA from 1 species